rnacentral:rRNA from 1 species
CCUACGGGAGGCAGCAGUGGGGAAUCUUAGACAAUGGGCGCAAGCCUGAUCUAGCCAUGCCGCGUGGGUGAUGAAGGCCUUAGGGUCGUAAAGCCCUUUCGCCGGGGAAGAUAAUGACGGUACCCGGUAAAGAAACCCCGGCUAACUCCGUGCCAGCAGCCGCGGUAAUACGGAGGGGGUUAGCGUUGUUCGGAAUGACUGGGCGUAAAGCGCGCGUAGGCGGAUCGUAAAGUUGGGGGUGAAAGCCCAGGGCUCAACCCUGGAAUUGCCUUCAAGACUCGCGGUCUAGAGUUCGAGAGAGGUGAGUGGAAUUCCGAGUGUAGAGGUGAAAUUCGUAGAUAUUCGGAGGAACACCAGUGGCGAAGGCGGCUCACUGGCUCGACACUGACGCUGAGGUGCGAAAGCGUGGGAGCAAACAGGAUUAGAUACCCUGGUAGUCCACGCCGUAAACGAUGAAUGCCAGACGUCGGGGUCGUCGUCCGUCGGUGUCACACCUACGUAGUAGACACUCCGUCCGUCGGGUAGGUACGGCCGCGACGGUAAACGUACAAUAGAUAGACGGCGUGAGACGUCGCCGAACGGACGACGACGAGGGAGUAGG